CACGUAGGGCGCAAGCGUUGUCCGGAAUUAUUGGGCGUAAAGAGCUCGUAGGUGGUUUGUUACGUCUGCUGUGAAAACCUAGGGCUUAACCCUGGGCUUGCAGUGGAUACGGGCAGACUAGAGGUAGGUAGGGGAGAAUGGAAUUCCUGGUGUAGCGGUGAAAUGCGCAGAUAUCAGGAGGAACACCGGUGGCGAAGGCGGCCACCUGGACCAACACUGACACUGAGGUGCGAAAGCGUGGGGAGCAAACAGG
rnacentral:rRNA from 1 species